CGACAAUCCGAGAGCCUUAUCAGAAACCUCGAAAUUUAUUUACGGUGCGGUUGUGUGGUCGACGACACCGACACCUUCGUGCUCAUCGUUGUAUCAAUCAAUGAAUAUCUAAAACUAUAUUCAGCAUUCUUCAUUUUGAUACUACUGAACUAAAUCCAUGGUAUAUGGCCCUAACUAUCCAUUAGUAAUUUCUCUAAAAUCGUUCUUGCCGAUUAACUGUCUAUUAUGGACGUUUCUGAUUCCAAAUACUUGCCCCAACAAUGUCCAUCCCAGAUCGAUGAUGGAAAGAGAUCUGUCAC
rnacentral:misc_RNA from 1 species